AUUGAACGCUGGCGGCAUGCCUUACACAUGCAAGUCGAACGGCAGCACGGGUGCUUGCACCUGGUGGCGAGUGGCGAACGGGUGAGUAAUACAUCGGAACGUACCUAUCGUGGGGGAUAACGCAGCGAAAGCUGUGCUAAUACCGCAUACGCCCUGAGGGGGAAAGCGGGGGAUCGAAAGACCUCGCGCGAUUAGAGCGGCCGAUGCCUGAUUAGCUUGUUGGUGGGGUAAAAGCCCACCAAGGCGACGAUCAGUAGCUGGUCUGAGAGGACGAUACGCCCCACUGGGACGGAGACACGGCCCAGACUCCUACGGGAGGCAGCAGUGGGGAAUUUUGGACGAUGGGGGCAACCCUGAUCCAGCAAUGCCGCGUGAGUGAAGAAGGCCUUCGGGUUGUAAAGCUCUUUUGUCAGGGAAGAAACACCGGCUCUAACACAGUCCGGGAAUGACGGUACCUGAAGAAUAAGCACCGGCUAACUACGUGCCAGCCGCCGCCGUAA
rnacentral:rRNA from 1 species